rnacentral:tRNA from 1 species
GGGAAGAUGGUUUAGUGGGUAAGAACGCUUGCUUUGCAAGCAUGAGGACCUGAGUUUGAAUCCUCAGUACCCA